UAACACAUGCAAGUCGAACGGCUCUUCGGAGCAGUGGCGGACGGGUGAGUAACGCGUGGGAACGUGCCCUUUGGUUCGGAACAACACAGGGAAACUUGUGCUAAUACCGGAUGAGCCCUUCGGGGGAAAGAUUUAUCGCCAUUGGAGCGGCCCGCGUUGGAUUAGGUAGUUGGUGGGGUAAAGGCCCACCAAGCCGACGAUCCAUAGCUGGUCUGAGAGGAUGAUCAGCCACACUGGGACUGAGACACGGCCCAGACUCCUACGGGAGGCAGCAGUGGGGAAUCUUGCGCAAUGGGCGAAAGCCUGACGCAGCCAUGCCGCGUGUAUGAUGAAGGUCUUAGGAUUGUAAAAUACUUUCACCGGGGAAGAUAAUGACGGUACCCGGAGAAGAAGCCCCGGCUAACUUCGUGCCAGCAGCCGCGGUAAUACGAAGGGGGCUAGCGUUGCUCGGAAUUACUGGGCGUAAAGGGCGCGUAGGCGGACAGUUUAGUCAGAGGUGAAAGCCCAGGGCUCAACCUUGGAAUUGCCUUUGAUACUGGCUGUCUUGAGUUCGGGAGAGGUGAGUGGAAUGCCGAGUGUAGAGGUGAAAUUCGUAGAUAUUCGGCGGAACACCAGUGGCGAAGGCGACUCACUGGCCCGAUACUGACGCUGAGGCGCGAAAGCGUGGGGAGCAAACAGG
rnacentral:rRNA from 1 species